rnacentral:rRNA from 1 species
UACGUAGGGUGCGAGCGUUGUCCGGAAUUACUGGGCGUAAAGAGCUCGUAGGUGGUUUGUCGCGUUGUUCGUGAAAUCUCACGGCUUAACUGUGAGCGUGCGGGCGAUACGGGCAGACUAGAGUACUGCAGGGGAGACUGGAAUUCCUGGUGUAGCGGUGGAAUGCGCAGAUAUCAGGAGGAACACCGGUGGCGAAGGCGGGUCUCUGGGCAGUAACUGACGCUCAUGCACGAAAGCGUGGGGAGCAAACAGG